AGUGAGAGUAGAGGAGCAAUGCACAUCAGUAUGUCCGUUGAGGAUGUUGAAAUCCUGCGAUUCGGAAUGAAAGGGUGUAUUGCCGAAGUGGAUCUGCAUUCAACUGUUUGUCCACUGGAUCUGAUUCCGAACAGGACCAGAACUGUCGUACAGCCAUAUGGCUGUAUGGGGAGCUAUCUCACGC
rnacentral:ncRNA from 2 species